rnacentral:lncRNA from 1 species
UCUUCUUCAAUAUUAGGAACAUGGAUCCAAAUGUUUCAGAUUCUUACCACGUGGGUUGCUGAAUUUCAAGGUUCGGGGUAUAAGAGGUUUAAGAUACAAGAAGACAUGUGGUUAGGGCAGUAGAGAAUUGGAAUUGUAUGUUGCAAUGGUUUGUAGUUGCUUUGGUGUGCUCAAUUGGUGCAAAGGAAAUAAGAAUUUGGAACCUUCCAGCCAAGCCCAAGGUAAGAGAAUGACUAUGACUUGGUCAUAUUAAUUCUUCAUUUUUACUAAGGUGAACUCUUCUACUGCAAAUAAUGAUACAAUUUGCAUCUUGUGCUUCUCUGGUCAAGUUCUUUGCAGAAAUAGGCGUAGUUUGUAGCGAUUCGGUACUAUAUUGAACUUCAAAAUCAAACUAAUUUUGGUAAAGUGGAUGC